AGGGGAGUAGCUCAGCUGGUUAGAGUGGCGGUCUCCAAAACCGUAGGUCGUGGGUUCGAAUCCCUCCUCCCCUGCCA
rnacentral:tRNA from 4 species